UACAGAAGGUGCAAGCGUUGUUCGGAAUUAUUGGGCGUAAAGCGCGCGUAGGCGGUUUUGCAAGUCGGGUGUGAAAUCCCCAGGCUUAACCUGGGAACUGCAUUCGAGACUGCAUUACUAGAGUAUGGGAGAGGAAGUGGAAUUUCCGGUGGUAGCGGUGAAAUGCGCAGAUAUCAGGAGGAACACCGGUGGCGAAGGCGGGUCUCUGGGCCGAUACUGACGCUGAGGAGCGAAAGCGUGGGGAGCGAACAGG
rnacentral:rRNA from 1 species